CAUAAGAGUAGAUGUCGCAUGACAUUUGCUUAAAAGGUGCAAUUGCAUCACUACCAGAUGGACCUGCGUUGUAUUAGCUAGUUGGUGAGGUAACGGCUCACCAAGGCAACGAUACAUAGCCGACCUGAGAGGGUGAUCGGCCACACUGGGACUGAGACACGGCCCAGACCUCUACGGGAGGCAGCAGUAGGGAAUCUUCGGCAAUGGACGGAAGUCUGACCGAGCAACGCCGCGUGAGUGAAGAAGGUUUUCGGAUCGUAAAGCUCUGUUGUAAGAGAAGAACGAGUGUGAGAGUGGGAA
rnacentral:rRNA from 1 species